CUUUAAUUCACAAUUUAGCCCCUGGGUAAUAGUGUAAAUAUUGUUAAAAAAAAAUAAAAUAUGCAUCAGCCUGUGCUAAACAAUCUGAAUGUUAUUUUAACUUAUAGUUUUUUUUUUUGUUUUUUUUAUAUUUAACUAAAAGAAUAGUUUUGGGGAUCAAAUUUACCAUAUUAACAUUGCCAUUUCUUAAACGUUGCAGAAGAUUUUCUGAACCGCCAAUAUGUUACAUAUGCACAGAUGUGUUAUUUACAUACCCAGAGGGAACAUGCCAAUAUUUAUUCACGUUGUUAUAUAAUAUUUUAAUAGAUGACUACAACUCCCCUCGCAUCCCCCCCGCCCCCCAGCAAUGAACACAAUACAUUAACAAGUGAAAUAAUGUAAAAUGGAAAAUGUAUUAAAACAAUAAGUAAAAUAAUCAAAACUAGCAUUAUCUACAUUAUGGAAUGUCUGAAAUGUUGGCAUGUUUUCUCUUUGUACUCAAGCUUCUUAGUAAUAUAGACACGACUUAUAGCAACAGUUCAUGUUACUUUAACUGCUAUAUUCAUGAUCAAAUAAACUAUUUACACUACUACAUGGUAAUACAUCAUUUAUUUAAUUGUGAUUGUAAUUUACACAGGGAUAGAGAGAAAUUGAGGGUUGCAAAUGGAUGAAAAAAAAGCAUUUUAUUUUUCUAUGCUGUACUAUAUGUGUAUCUUUCCAAAAAACAAUAUAACUACACCGAUAUAGAAGAAAAAAUUGUGG